AUGCCUUGCACUUAUGAGAAGGAAAAUAAUGAUUCAGGGUGAUGCCCGAAUCCUCACUGCUAAUAUGAGACGAAAUUUUGAGUAAGUAAAGGUUGCCGCUAAGGUGACCCGCCUACUUUGCGGGGUGCCUGGAAUUCUCAAUCUGCCUG
rnacentral:snRNA from 1 species